rnacentral:rRNA from 1 species
CAAUAGCGUAUAUUUAAGUUGCUGCAGUUAAAAAGCUCGUAGUUGGAUUUCGGGUGGGAAUGGCCGGUCCGCCGUUUCGGUGUGCACUUGCUACGCCCACCUUGCUGCCGGGGACGUGCUCUUGAGUUCACGCUCGGGACACGGAGUCGGCGAGGUUACUUUGAGUAAAUUAGAGUGUUCGAAGCAGGCCUACGCUCUGAAUACAUUAGCAUGGAAUAACGCGAUAGGACUCUGGCCUAUCUUGUUGGUCUGUAGGACCGGAGUAAUGAUUAAGAGGGACAGUCGGGGGCAUUCGUAUUUCAUUGUCAGAGGUGAAAUUCUUGGAUUUAUGAAAGACGAACUACUGCGAAAGCAUUUGCCAAGGAUGUUUUCAUUAA